UGGGGAAUAUUGCACAAUGGGGGGAAACCCCUGAUGCAGCGACGCCGCGUGAGCGAAGAAGUAUUUCGGUAUGUAAAGCUCUAUCAGCAGGGAAGAAAAUGACGGUACCUGAGUAAGAAGCUCCGGCUAAAUACGUGCC
rnacentral:rRNA from 1 species